rnacentral:rRNA from 1 species
UACAGAGGUCCCGAGCGUUGUUCGGAUUCAUUGGGCGUAAAGGGUGCGUAGGCGGCGGGGCAAGUCUGAUGUGAAAUCCUGGGGCUCAACCCUGGAACUGCAUUGGAUACUGCCUUGCUAGAGUACUGGAGAGGAAACUGGAAUUUACGGUGUAGCAGUGAAAUGCGUAGAGAUCGUAAGGAAGACCAGUGGCGAAGGCGGGUCUCUGGACAGUUCCUGACACUGAGACACGAAGGCCAGGGGAGCAAACGGG